rnacentral:rRNA from 1 species
UACGUAGGGUGCGAGCGUUGUCCGGAAUUAUUGGGCGUAAAGGGCUCGUAGGCGGUUUGUCGCGUCGGGAGUGAAAACCAGGUGCUUAACACCUGGCUUGCUUUCGAUACGGGCAGACUAGAGGUAUUCAGGGGAGAACGGAAUUCCUGGUGUAGCGGUGAAAUGCGCAGAUAUCAGGAGGAACACCGGUGGCGAAGGCGGCAUCCUGGACCGAUACUGACGCUGAGGAGCGAAAGCGUGGGGAGCGAACAGG